AUUGAACGCUGGCGGCAUGCUUUACACAUGCAAGUCGAACGGUAACAGGCCUUCGGGUGCUGACGAGUGGCGAACGGGUGAGUAAUACAUCGGAACGUACCCAGAGGUGGGGGAUAACGCAGCGAAAGCUGUGCUAAUACCGCAUGUGAUCUGAGGAUGAAAGCGGGGGACCGAGCAGCAAUGUUUGGCCUCGCGCCUUUGGAGCGGCCGAUGUCGGAUUAGCUAGUUGGUGGGGUAAAGGCCUACCAAGGCGACGAUCCGUAGCUGGUCUGAGAGGACGACCAGCCACACUGGGACUGAGACACGGCCCAGACUCCUACGGGAGGCAGCAGUGGGGAAUUUUGGACAAUGGGCGCAAGCCUGAUCCAGCAAUGCCGCGUGCGGGAAGAAGGCCUUCGGGUUGUAAACCGCUUUUGGCAGGAACGAAACGGUGUCCGCUAAUACCGGGCGCUAAUGACGGUACCUGCAGAAUAAGCACCGGCUAACUACGUG
rnacentral:rRNA from 1 species